UAAGGAAUAUUGCUCAAUGGGAGAAAUCCUGAAGCAGCAACGCCGCGUGGAGGAUGAAGGGUCUAUGACUUGUAAACUCCUGUAAAGAAGGAAAAAAUUCCCAUUAGAUGGGAGAUGAUGGUACUUCUGGAGUAAGCCCCGGCUAACUACGUGCCGGCAGCCGCGGUAAUACGUAGGGGGCAAGCGUUGUCCGGAUUUACUGGGUGUAAAGGGUGCUUAGGCGGAUUUGUAAGUCAGAGGUGAAAUCUUACAGCUUAACUGUGAAACUGCCUUUGAUACUGCAAGCCUAGAGUAUGGAAGAGAGUGAUGGAAUAUCUGGUGUAGCAGUGAAAUGCGUAGAUAUCAGAUAGAACACCAAUGGCGAAGGCAGUCACUUGGUCCAUUACUGACGCUAAAGCACGAAAGCGUGGGGAGCAAACA
rnacentral:rRNA from 1 species